CAUAAAUAGACAUGAAUGCUCUUCAAAAUCCACCUCAUUUAUUCUCUCAGUCAAUUGCAAUAUAGUUGUCUUCCAACACUAGCCUUACGUCUCAGUCUACACAAAUCUAGGAUAAAGUGGUCUCUGUAAAGAGCAUCCACAGGAAGCAUGCUGCCCACUUGGCAAAGCAAGGUGGUUGUUUGCUUGACUCUACGAGCCCUCCUUCUCUUUCCAAGGGGCCUUUGGAUUGGCUGAUUCUAUGGAGUUGGAAUCUUAAGCUGGAGGAUGAGUCAAUCAAAGUCAUAAAGGGAAGCCAUAUGUCACACACUUGGAAGUCCAUGUGUAGACAUCGAGUUGAGAGUGUCAGAGGCAAAGUCAAGACCAGGAUCUUAGCACCAAGGUUAGAGUGGCAGAAAUCAAGACUAAAGAAUAAGCUUACACUGUUGUGCCAGCUGCUACGGUGGAGAUAGAAAAUGGAUUAAAAAUGGCAGAAGGGAAUUGAUAUUUAUCAAAGACUCACAAAGGACACUACCUAUUUCAUCUCAUUUAAUUCUCACAGCAGCCCUGCAAGGUAGGUAUAUUACUCUUGUUUCACAAAUAGGGAACGGAAUCCUGAGAUGUUAAGUGACUUGUCUAAGCUCACACAGCAAAUAGGUCGAUUUGCACCCAGCUCUUUGUGUCCCCUAAGAUAAUGUUUGUCUUACUGCACUAUACCACCUUUUUGCCUUUGAUGAACUCAGGAACUAGUUAGGUGAGAGAAAAUGUGCAUAAUGCAAGGCAGGAGAUAGACUAAUAGAAAGCUGUCACAUACAAGUUGGAAGGACAGUAGCAGAACACACCGGCCAGCUUGGCUGCCUUGCCUAUUCUCUUUUCCUGAGUUUGUAUAUCUGCCACCACUACUGUGUAGGUGGUGGAAAAUCUGUGCUGUCUAGACCAGUGUUGGACCCUUGACAGCCAGUGCUGUCUAGAUUAGUAGUGGACCCCUGACCCAACUAGGGACAAGAUGAUUUUAUUUUGCUUAAACAUUUUUAAAUUGUUUAUUUAUUUAUUAUUUAUUUAUUUAUCUAUUUAUUGAGACAGAGCCUUGCUCUGUCACCCAGUCUGGACCCGAACUCCUGGGCUCAAGUGAUCCUUCCAUCUCAGC
rnacentral:lncRNA from 1 species